CAGCAGCCGCGGGAAUACGAAGGGGGCUAGCGUUGCUCGGAAUCACUGGGCGUAAAGGGUGCGUAGGCGGGUCUUUAAGUCAGGGGUGAAAUCCUGGAGCUCAACUCCAGAACUGCCUUUGAUACUGAAGAUCUUGAGUUCGGGAGAGGUGAGUGGAACUGCGAGUGUAGAGGUGAAAUUCGUAGAUAUUCGCAAGAACACCAGUGGCGAAGGCGGCUCACUGGCCCGGUACUGACGCUGAGGCACGAAAGCGUGGGGAGCAAACAGGAUUAGAUACCCGCGUAGUCCCUGUCUCUUAUAC
rnacentral:rRNA from 1 species